ensembl:lncRNA
CGUUUGCAAGCAUAUGAAUGUGUUCAUAUAUGUAUAUUUUCAUGAGGCAUCUCAAAACUACUCAAUUUUUGAAAUACACUCACAUUAUGAAUGUAUCUUGCUUUAAUCAACCAGUAAUAAUGAAGCGCCAAUGAAACCGUGACAGCUGCACAGUGAAGCUAUUGCUUCUCUCUCUCUCUCUCUCUCUACAACAGUAAGCAGGUGAAGGGCAGUGUCAGAAAGAGAGGGAGGGGAAUGACAGGAAGACACAGCAGGUAAGGAAACAAUGAGAUGAAAUGAUCAGAACAGAAACAGACAUGGCAGAAGACAGGAAAAGAGUUUGAAAGCAUUUGAUGACAUUUUGGAUUCAACUAAUUGUGAGGUACAGGCUAUUUUCACUUAUAUUGCAGUUAUUGUUAGGUUAAUGGUUGUUGUUUUGUUUUUUGUUUUUUUCACUUGCUUCAUUUUUCAAAAUGUAGGUCUUUCUUCUAAGAUUUUGACUAGACUUUAAAAUGACUUAAAAUAAAAUCAUCAAAAACGAGCCAGUCACAUGCUUAUUUGCUAUUUGUAUCAGAUCUACAAAUCUACUUCCCCAAGGUUUUUUUUUUUUUUUUUGCAAACUCAGCUGUUGAAUAAUGCAAUAUAUUAUUUUAUUAGACAUGAACAUGUGAACAUCGAAGUGAAACUUUAAUCUGUGCUAAAUCACACUUCUUUAUUCAAAAGUUUGAUUGUGUUUGUUCCUAUGUUCUUCAGUGACUGAUGGAGGGUGUGUGAUAUGUUGUCGGUGUUGAUCACUUCUUGUCUCAUAAAGUUGUAUCGUUUACAGAUGCUUGUGACUGUGAUAUCUGUAGCCAUGGUGAUGCUGACAGGUCACCUGCUAUAUGGGCUCCCCAUGGACGGAAAAAUUAGAAAUUCUAGAGCCCUUUCAGAAGAAGAGCUGUGUGAUGCAGGAUAUUUCAAGUCAGGCUCUAGUUGUCUUAAGUGCGAUCCUGGUUUCUUCACCAGUCAGAAAAACAGAGAAGACCGUUGCCACCGCUGCUUCCAGAACUGCAUACCUGAAUUCAACAUGACGGUGGUGGUGGCAUGUACGUUUACAUCAGAUGUGAAGUGUCGCUGUCGGGAGGGUCACACUUGCACCGCGACCGAUCAAUACACGGGCCAAUGUCACAGUUGUGCUCCUGUCUCCACCCCAGUCCUGUCCUCCACCUAUGCUGAUGUCCCUUCAUCCACUACAUCCACCACUUCAUCCACAGAGACUGCUGAGAUCAGGCUGGGUGACAAUAGUGUUGGGGUGUUGAUUUUAUGUGGAUUCAUUUCUGUAAUGUUAUCCGUCAUCAUCCUUACGCUGUUCCUCCGGCUCUGCAGGAAGAAAGAGAAGGAAUGUUUUAAGCAUUUUGUCAGGAAGUGCUCGUUGGGUAAUAUGGAGGUGGACAGUGAGACUACACCUCCUACCAGCCAACUAGAUGAGCAGCCCCAUGCCCAGGAGAUGCUGUCACAUGGCAGCACACCCACCAAUCACAACACAGACUGCUCAUUUCAUCAGCCAAUCAGCUCAGUGCAGGCUGUGCCUCCAGCCGGCAAUUUAGGCCCUCUUCACAUCUAUGGUCCCCAGACAGUUUUUGUUAGUUUGCUCAAUCAGUUUGGAUGGGAUGGCGGCGAGAAAAAAGCACAUGAACUCCAAGAAGAAUCACUAAACAACAUCAACGUGUCCUGCCCUCAGUCUCCCCCCGUCCAUCUGUCUGAGGAGGAAAGGAGCAGAGAGAACGAUUUCAUCUUCUUCCCAUCUCAGGAGCAAGGGAAAGAGUGCCACAUAUCUAAAGAAGAGGUUCUGUAAGGGAUGAUGGAAUAUUUGUGUCCAUUCUUCCUCUGUGCUGUUCAGCUGCUGUGUGGUUUGUUUUAACUGAUAUUCCGUGAGUACCCAGUAUUAAAACUCUAACCCUGGCAGGGGUUUUCACCUAGAGAGCAACAGGCUGCAUUAGGGGAAGACCUGGGUUUGUGACUAACAGUAUGGACGACAUAAGUGUUGCGUAUGAGCUUGACAGUUCAUGUCAGCUUUGCAGUAUUAUCCAUAACCCAUUGAUACUACAGCAUGAGAACGGCAGUGGGAUGCUGAUGUUGACUGCAUGAAGAGUCGAUACCAAAGGCUUAUGAUGGUUGAACUGACCAUCUGGAACAAUGCUUGAAAGUGUUUGAAAGCAGAGAGCAGCUCUAAAACAUUCACAUAUGUUGAGAUAUUUAUUUUAUGUAAAGUUUAUUAAAGUCACAAAACUUUUGUAUUUAUUUGUAACUCUUAUUAAUUGCAGUUAAUCAUGCAGUUUAUCAGUGUUCGAUCAUAUCAAGUCCGUGGUCAAUGAUGUCAGUGUUCUUCCUCUUUUCUUUGGUUUUUAUGUGACAGACAUGAUGGAUUGUGCCUUCAAAAAGCCCUGACAUUUUGAUGGUGGUCUGGAAAUGUCAACAUUGUUUCUUCAUUCAGAAGUGUAUAAGCACAUGCAAUAGCAAUUGUUUGAUCAUGUAUUAUGUUUUAUAUUCACUGUAAUACACAUUUUUAAGCUUGAUAUUAAUUGUAAAGUGCAAUAAAAUCAAUAAAAGUUUAUUUUUUUUACA